CUGAUAAUCUCCAGGGAGAUUAUCAGGGAUGUGCCCAGUACAACAGAUGAUACUGGGGAGGUUUCAAGACAGGAGAGCUUGCUAAUGUUGUAGGCCCUUGUACUCUGCCCUGCUUUGCUCAGGUUAGAGCCUAUGGCAGAGAGGGAAAGAACCUACAGAGAGCGUUCACUCACCCAGAUGAACCAGAGACGCCAGACCUGCCCAGGACCCAGCAAAACUGGAUGUGAGGUGAGGAGUUUCCUUGGCCAGCCACAGGCACCCCAAUCUGUUGAAGGGGAAAGGCUUAUAGGAAAGGUCAUGUGAGGACUCAGCAAGAAGGUGGACAUCUGAAAGCCAGAAAGAGAGCUCUCACCAGAAACCGAACCCUGCUAGACCUCUAUCUGGGACUUCAGCCUCCAGAACUGGGAGAAAUAAGUUUCUACUGUUUCAGCCAUCUAGUCUGUGAUAUUUUGUUAUGGCAGCCCUAAAACACAAAUAUAGAGUCUGCUCAAUAAAGGUCUCAAGUGUUAUUCUGAAA